rnacentral:tRNA from 1 species
ACGCUCAUAGUUCAGUUGGAUAGAACAAGGGACUUCUAAUCCCUAGGUCGGGAGUUCGAGCCUCUCUGAGCGUACCA